UACAGAGGUCUCAAGCGUUGUUCGGAUUCAUUGGGCGUAAAGGGUGCGUAGGCGGCGCGGUAAGUCGGGUGUGAAAUCUUGGAGCUUAACUCCGAAACUGCAUUCGAUACUGCCGUGCUUGAGGACUGGAGAGGAGACUGGAAUUUACGGUGUAGCGGUGAAAUGCGUAGAUAUCGGAAGGAACGCCGGUGGCGAAAGCGGCGCGCUGGACCCUUACUGACGCUGAUGCGCGAAAGCCAGGGGAGCAAACGGG
rnacentral:rRNA from 1 species